rnacentral:piRNA from 1 species
CCACUACUCAGAGGCCGAGCUUGGCUGC